GCCAGCAGGCAUGGCCCAUCCACACACCCUCCUGGGUGCUCAGACACCUGGAGGAAAGGGCUGUCCUUUCAAAUCCUCCCCCAGGACCCAGGCAGCAGGCGGCUGCCCCUACCUGCCUCUGUUUGCACCUGGCCUUCCUUCCAUGGGGCCCUCAGGUUGCCCAGGGCUAGGAGGCUGAGGGGAGGGCAGGUGGUGCCAGGCCUGGGCAUCCACCCCCCUGCCCAGUGUCCUCCUCCAGCCCCUGGAAGCUGGGCUCUGGCUGGGGCUCUGGCUGGGACCGACUGUGUGCCAAUGCCUGCUUCUGACCCCCCGGCGUGUGCUGACCUGGCCGGAGGUUUGCUGGCACCGCACGUGAAUGGAACACCAGGAACGCUUUGAAGACAGGCCACAUGGAAUAAGGGAGACUUCUCGUGCGGGGCGUGACCUACGACUGGAGACAGAGCUUCUGCAGGGAGGGGAGGCCUGACGCGGGCGCCAGGGGCCUGGCAGUUCCGCAGGAGCACGAGGCUCCUGUUGUAGGGGGACUGUUGGCGUCCUGCUCGACGUGGGUCAAACCAAAUUUGUUUGGAUGUGACCUGGGUUGCCUUUUACCUACGUGUGCCUGCUGGCGCUGUUCCCAGCAGAGCAGAUGAAAUGGAAGACACAGGCCCUGGACCGGCAAGCAAACCCCCGACACCGGUGGAAGCGUGGAUAGGCCAUCCCGGCGUCGCCGGAGGGUUUCUGGUCUCCCUGUGGGCUCUCCUCUCACGUGGGCCCUUCCUCUCCCGUUUGGAAGGAGGGUUUGGGGCAGUGACUUAAAUAAUCUCUCCGGCAGGAAAGAUCUGAUCAUCUGUGGCCAGUGAAGUGUGGAGACCCCCCUGCUCGAAGAGGCCCAGUCCGUGAGGGGCGCCCACGUCGGGGCAGCUGCUGGCUUCCGAGGGCACCCGCCAGCGAGCAGGGAGGCCGGCCGUCGGUCCCGUGUGUGCCACUAGCACAGUAACAAGCCUUUUUUCAGGUGGUGACUUAUUUGUAAAGGCUCGGGUGUUCUCCAGUGUCUAAUUAGUACAGACGCUCAUUCUUCCUGUUUUCGAAUGAAAUAGAUUUUGAGGAAGAUUUUAGCUCACCUGGGUCUGGGUCUGCAAACCCUGUGGCCCAUGAAGUCAUUUGUUAUUUUAUUGUGACCGUGCACACGAUGCAAGGGUGAGAGAAAGGUCAGCAAUAACUCUGCUGUUGCAUUUUAGCCUGGAAAAAAUGUAAUAUUGAUCGAUAAGAAAAUGGGAGAGCACAACUAUGAGCGCCUUACGUGAUCUUCUCCGACCUUUACCCGCCAUGUUGAUUCUGUUCUUAAAUGUUAUGUCUCCCGUUCAAAAGGUUUGUCCUGUUUAGUCUCCUAUUUAAU
rnacentral:lncRNA from 1 species